ACGUACACUCCUACGGGAGGCAGCAGUGGGGAAUAUUGCACAAUGGGCGCAAGCCUGAUGCAGCCAUGCCGCGUGUAUGAAGAAGGCCUUCGGGUUGUAAAGUACUUUCAGCGGGGAGGAAGGCAAUACGGUUAAUAACCGUGUUGAUUGACGUUACCCGCAGAAGAAGCACCGGCUAACUCCGUGCCAGCAGCCGCGGGAAUACGGAGGGUGCAAGCGUUAAUCGGAAUUACUGGGCGUAAAGCGCACGCAGGCGGUCUGUCAAGUCGGAUGUGAAAUCCCCGGGCUCAACCUGGGAACUGCAUUCGAAACUGGCAGGCUUGAGUCGUGUAGAGGGGGGUAGAAUUCCAGGUGUAGCGGUGAAAUGCGUAGAGAUCUGGAGGAAUACCGGUGGCGAAGGCGGCCCCCUGGACAAAGACUGACGCUCAGGUGCGAAAGCGUGGGGAGCAAACAGGAUUAGAAACCCGUGUAGUCCCAU
rnacentral:rRNA from 1 species